AACUCUCAACAACGGAUGUCUUGGCUCUCGCAACGAUGAAGAACGCAGCGAAAUGCGAUACGUCAUGCGACACGCAAACCGUGAGUCAUCAAAACUUUGAACGCAACUUGCCCUUCCUCGGAAGGAUGUCUGUUGGAGUGUC
rnacentral:rRNA from 14 species